GUCAGCUCGUGUUGUGAAAUGUUGGGUUAAGUCCCGCAACGAGCGCAACCCUUAUCCUUUGUUGCCAGCGGUUAGGCCGGGAACUCAAAGGAGACUGCCAGUGAUAAACUGGAGGAAGGUGGGGAUGACGUCAAGUCAUCAUGGCCCUUACGACCAGGGCUACACACGUGCUACAAUGGCAUAUACAAAGAGAAGCGACCUCGCGAGAGCAAGCGGACCUCAUAAAGUAUGUCGUAGUCCGGAUUGGAGUCUGCAACUCGACUCCAUGAAGUCGGAAUCGCUAGUAAUCGUAGAUCAGAAUGCUACGGUGAAUACGUUCCCGGGCCUUGUACACACCGCCCGUCACACCAUGGGAGUGGGUUGCAAAAGAAGUAGGUAGCUUAACCUUCGGGAGGGCGCUUACCACUUUGUGAUUCAUGACUGGGGUGAAGUCGUAACAAGGUAACCGUAGGGGAACCUGCGGUUGGAUCACCUCCUUA
rnacentral:rRNA from 1 species